rnacentral:rRNA from 1 species
UAGAGGAAGUAAAAGUCGUAACAAGGUCUCCGUUGGUGAACCAGCGGAGGGAUCAUUACUGAGUUACCGCUCUACAACCCUUUGUGAACAUACCUUAACUGUUGCUUCGGCGGGCAGGAGGACAACCCCCCUCGGGGGGCGGUCCCCCUCCCGGCCGCGCCCUCACGGGCGUGGCGCCCGCCGGAGGAUACCAAAACUCUAUUUUAACGACGUUUCUUCUGAGUGGCACAAGCAAAUAAUUAAAACUUUUAACAACGGAUCUCUUGGUUCUGGCAUCGAUGAAGAACGCAGCGAAAUGCGAUAAGUAAUGUGAAUUGCAGAAUUCAGUGAAUCAUCGAAUCUUUGAACGCACAUUGCGCCCGCCAGCAUUCUGGCGGGCAUGCCUGUUCGAGCGUCAUUUCAACCCUCAAGCCCAGCUUGGUGUUGGGGCCCUACGGUCGACGUAGGCCCUUAAAGGUAGUGGCGGACCCUCCCGGAGCCUCCUUUGCGUAGUAACUUAACGUCUCGCACUGGGAUCCGGAGGGACUCUUGCCGUAAAACCCCCAAAACUUUUACAGGUUGACCUCGGAUCAGGUAGGAAUACCCGCUGAACUUAAGCAUA